CAAACCGGCGUUCUCGCUCGAAUUCUUGUGAUAACCUUGGAAUUUUGAGCUCGUUUUGCCGUAGUUUUGUAUGGUAAUAUUCUCAAAAUAAACGUUUCUAUAAGGUCUCAAGGUCGUUCUAUUUAAACGAUUUUUAUCGUCUACAAAUGUGAAAUAUUUUUUGGAAAAAACUCGUCUAUAAAAGUCAAGUAUAAAAAUAUUCGAUCAUGGCAGACGGCAAGCAAGAUAUGUGGAUUUUUGGCUACGGGUCUUUAAUUUGGAAAACUAACUUUCCUUACAAGGAAAAGGUCGUGGGUCAAAUUCGUGGUUUUGCUCGGAGAUUUUGGCAAGGCAGUACAGAUCACAGAGGAGUUCCUGGCAAGGUAAAAAAUUAUGUAUUCAUGUAUAAAAAUGUAUAAAUCUUACUGUAUGUUAUAAUUGUUAAUUAUUGUUUACAUUUUGGAACAGUUAUAAUAUACCAUAUUAAAUAGUGCUUCACACUUCACGAAUAACAAUAUUAAAGUCACUUUACAUGGUAUUUUAUA